UUUGUUUGUCUGGGAGUUCAACAGGAUUUUCUCCUUGACCCUCAUGCAUUAGGAAAUCAUUCACACUUAUAAUCAUAACCUGAAGUCACUCCCCAUCAGUAAGUGCAAGAAAUGAGAACCAGAAAGUUGGAAAGUGCCUCACAAUAAAUGAACUGAGCAUACCAGUGCAGGAGAUUUAAAUCUUGUUCCAAUUUGAAUAUCAUGUUCGCUGACUGGAGGGCCUGAGCUACAGCCAGCUUCCCCAGAUGAAGGUCCUGACAGCACCUCAAGCUAUUACCCUGUUCAGGCCGAGUGUGAAAUGGAAGAUUCAAGAUUCAUACUCCCUGUGUAUAGUUGCUGAUCUGUAUCCAAAAGUCUUGCAAAUGACCUGAG